rnacentral:sRNA from 1 species
CUAAAGAUAAGGACAGGGAACUGAAGGCUGCAGUAAAGCAAGUUGGCUUGGUGACUUCUGAAACUGUUUCGGGUUUCCUGUGUCCCAGACUGACCUUUGUAUCAGUGAUGUAGGCAAGGAUGACCUUGAACUUCUGAUUCUUCUGCCUUCAUCUCCAGAAAGCUGGGAUUAUUGGGGGCUCUGAACUGUGUAAGUGUGAAGAAUCCGGCAAGCAGGCAGUGCAUUUGUCUCCCUGCUGUUGACUGUGGCUGUGACGUAACCUGCUGGAGUUCCUACCUUGACUUUCAUGAAAUCAUGGGCAGUCACCUGGAGUUUUAAAGUAAAAUAAA